GAUGAACGCUGGCGGCGUGCUUAACACAUGCAAGUCGAACGAAGCACUUUAUUUGAUUUCCUUCGGGACUGAUUAUUUUGUGACUGAGUGGCGGACGGGUGAGUAACGCGUGGGUAACCUGCCUUGUACAGGGGGAUAACAGUUGGAAACGGCUGCUAAUACCGCAUAAGCGCACGGCAUCGCAUGAUGCAGUGUGAAAAACUGCGGUGGUAUAAGAUGGACCCGCGUUGGAUUAGCUAGUUGGUGAGGUAACGGCCCACCAAGGCGACGAUCCAUAGCCGACCUGAGAGGGUGACCGGCCACAUUGGGACUGAGACACGGCCCAAACUCCUACGGGAGGCAGCAGUGGGGAAUAUUGCACAAUGGGCGAAAGCCUGAUGCAGCGACGCCGCGUGAGCGAAGAAGUAUUUCGGUAUGUAAAGCUCUAUCAGCAGGGAAGAUAAUGGCGGUACCUGACUAAGAAGCACCGGCUAAAUACGUG
rnacentral:rRNA from 1 species